GAUGAAGAACGCAGCGAAAUGCGAUAAGUAAUGUGAAUUGCAGAAUUCAGUGAAUCAUCGAAUCUUUGAACGCACAUUGCGCCCGCCAGUAUUCUGGCGGGCAUGCCUGUUCGAGCAUCAUUUCAACCAUCAAGCCCCCGGGCUUGUGUUGGGGACCUGCGGCUGCCGCAGGCCCUGAAAAGCAGUGGCGGGCUCGCUGUCACACCGAGCGUAGUAGAUUUUAUCUCGCUCAGGGCGUGCUGCGGGUUCCGGCCGUUAAACCACCUUCAUAACCCAAGGUUGACCUCGGAUCAGGUAGGAAGACCCGCUGAACUUAAGCAUAUCAAUAAGCGGAGGA
rnacentral:misc_RNA from 1 species